GCCCAAGUGGCGAAAUUGGUAGACGCGCCAUCUUGAGGGGGUGGUGCCGAAAGGCGUCGCGGUUCGAGUCCGCGCUUGGGCA
rnacentral:tRNA from 1 species